GGCUGUUCAUCGGGGUGCCGGCCAGGGCGUCCGGGAGCGGCGCCUUCACCGGAGGCUUGCUUUCGGCGAGGAGAGAGAGCGGCGGUUGAGGUUAUCAGAUGAGAAAACAUAGCUUGUAUGUGACUUCAGAAGUUUCAAGCCAACUAGACCAACUCUAAAAUAUGGAAAAUCAGCAAAAUAAUGAAGACAUCUAUUUUCUUAUAGAAACUUAUCUGAAGCAAAAUAGUUACUACCAGAAGGAAGCUGAAAAAAGCCUAGAAACAAUUUCAGCCAAUAAAUCCUUAAUCUUUUUGCCAAGAGGAGAACUUUUUAGAAUAUAGUCAUUUAUAGUACAUUAUGGAGAAUGAAGAUACAAGACUAUAAGUAACAUUCCCUCACAAAACAUUGAAGAACAGUUAAGGAGAAAACAGCUUGCAGAAUUUAGCAUGAGAUCUACCUAAGCCAAAUCCUCCAAGAGUACUUGUAGAUGAAAUUGGAAGGAGAACAACACAGAGAUACAAAUGGAAUAGAUACACCAGUAUUAGUAAUCAUCUAAGAUAAACUUUUGGAUACUAACACCUCACUACUAGAUUUACAAUUUGAGAAAAUUGCAGUGAUACUUAAAAUGAUGAAUUUGGGAUGGAAGAAAUCAGUAGUAGAGAAAAUACAAUUUUGAAGAUAAGCAGGGAUCAAUUUUCCAGAUAUCUCAAAUAUGGAAAAAUUUCAAAAGAAUGAAGAUCACAGAUGGUGCUUAAAUAAAAAAGACAACAAAAUAAUCAGCAAUUACCAAUCCAUAUGAUUAUAUUCUUGUCUCUGUAAAACCUAUGUUCAUCUUGUGAUUUAAAAAGAACCUUUUCUCCUAAUAACUCUGGAAGGUAGUGAAAAUAUUGGGAUCUUCAUUUUAUAGAUGGAAAUUGAGGCUCGGAGAUAUUAAAUGAUUUGUGCAUGUUUACCCAGAUAGUAAGUAUCUGAUCCAGAACUCAAGCUCAGAUCUUCAUCACUAAUUUAUAAUAUAUUAUGUUGGUCUUAUACAUACAUUGAAAAAUAUCCUUGAUAAAAAUAGAAGAGGACAGGUCUUCAUAAGUAACAUUUGAAAGGACACUACAUCUGUUAUCUCUAAACGAAUUAUCUGAGUGGUAUAGAGAAGAUCCUAUUGUGUCUGUUGUUUUUUGACCUUUAUAGUAAUUAACUUGAUAGGACAAAAUGCAGCUCUCCAACAUUAACCGUGGCAUGUUAAAAAGGACUAAAAUAAAUAUAAUUGUUAAAAUAA